AGAGUUUGAUCAUGGCUCAGGAUAAACGCUGGCGGCGUGCAUGAGACAUGCAAGUCGAACGGACGACWCGRGGCUUGCUUCGWGUCGUUAGUGGCGGACGGCUGAGUAACGCGURGGUGACCUGCCCCGAAGUGGGGAAUAACUGCCCGAAAGGGUGGCUAAUACCGCAUGUGGYGRUGCGUUCAWUCGCAYCAKYAAAGCCGCAAGGCGCUUCGGAGGGGCCUGCGUCCGAUUAGCUCGUUGGUGGGGUAACGGCUCACCAAGGCGACGAUCGGUAGGUGGUCUGAGAGGACGAUCACCCAGACUGGGACUGAGACACGGCCCAGACUCCUACGGGAGGCAGCAGUCGGGAAUUUUGCKCAAUGGRCGAAAGYCUGAMGCAGCAACGCCGCGUGAGGGAUGAMGGCCUUCGGGUUGUAAACCUCUUUURYCAGGGACGAURAUGACGGUACCUGAYGAAUAAGYCACGGCUAACUACGUGCCAGCAGCCGCGGUAAUA
rnacentral:rRNA from 1 species